rnacentral:misc_RNA from 1 species
UCCGAGUUGACCCCGGCAGUCUCCUACGAGUCCCCGGCAUUACCCGCUGGCAACAUAGGACAAGGGUUGCGCUCGUUGCGGGACUUAACCCAACAUCUCACGACACGAGCUGACGACAGCCAUGCAGCACCUGUGUAGGCUGGUAUUGCUACCUCGUCACCCUUUCAGGCUUCUACUACCUACAUGUCAAGGCCAGGUAAGGUUCUUCGCGUCGCAUCGAAUUAAGCCGCAUGCUCCGCCGCUUGUGCGGGGCCCCGUCAAUUCCUUUGAGUUUUAGCCUUGCGGCCGUACUCCCCAGGCGGGGUGCUUAAUGCGUUAGCUUCGGCACGGACGGGGUCGAUAUCCGCCCACACCUAGCACCCAACGUUUACGGCUAGGACUAC